AGUGUGCAAUAGGAACACUGGAAACCAAUGGUGCUGUAAUUGUUGUAGAUUGACUCAAGAAGGGGACACUUAGGCCCACUUAUACCACUCCUGAGGGAAUAGUGCACAGAAACAGAAUUAGAAGAGUUCAUCAAAAACCAAGUCCUUGAUCCUACUUCCCUGACAAGCUGGAGGUUCGACAGAGCUACAAGGUGAAAUCUCUGAUAUCAGAACAGGUGGUGGGAGAAGAAAGUUGGAGUGCCACUUGUCACCAUUUAGAUCUUAACAGUCAUGGAAGGUAUGUACACCCUGAAGGGACAAAUGAGGUCAAAAUAGCACCUGAAAAUAGCCAGAAGUGGAGAAGUCCCAUCAUAGGAAGCUGUAAAGUGCUAUUCAAACAGAAGAGUAGAGAAAUCAAGCAGAGAGAGAAGCAGAAAUGCUGCUGAUGACUUAGCUCUAACAUAACUGAUUCUGUCUGGGGCUUUGUUGGUAUUGCAGUCUCUGGUGUGUGUGCUAUGCUGGGAACCUCUGGUAGCAUCUGAUUAGAAAGAUGCUGUUGUCAGUGCAUUU
rnacentral:lncRNA from 1 species